AUUGAACGCUGGCGGCAUGCCUUACACAUGCAAGUCGAACGGUAACGGGCCUUCGGGUGCCGACGAGUGGCGAACGGGUGCGUAAUACAUCGGAACGUGCCCGAUCGUGGGGGAUAACGAGGCGAAAGCUUUGCUAAUACCGCAUACGAUCUACGGAUGAAAGCAGGGGACCGCAAGGCCUUGCGCGGACGGAGCGGCCGAUGGCAGAUUAGGUAGUUGGUGGGAUAAAAGCUUACCAAGCCGACGAUCUGUAGCUGGUCUGAGAGGAUGAUCAGCCACACUGGGACUGAGACACGGCCCAGACUCCUACGGGAGGCAGCAGUGGGGAAUUUUGGACAAAGGGCGCAAGCCUGAUCCAGCCAUGCCGCGUGCAGGAUGAAGGCCUUCGGGUUGUAAACUGCUUUUGUACGGAACGAAAAGCCUUCUUUUAAUACAGGAGGGUCAUGACGGUACCGUAAGAACAAGCACCGGCUAACUACGUG
rnacentral:rRNA from 1 species